GUCCUAAUAGAAUAAUUCAAUGUACUAAUAAAAGGAAUAUAUCUAGACGUAUUGAUCAGCUACAAAUUAAAAGCAGUGACACUUGUCAGGUUAAGAAGGCUAUAAAUGUCUAGAAAGUUAGAAUUAAAAUGCUUGAUUCUUCAACCUUUGCUUACAAUCCAAGUAACAGAUGAGGAAAAAGAUUGUAGACAACAAUGUCGGCAACAGAAACAGCCAGCAUGCCUUCUUUCAGGUGCAAGGCCCUCAAAAGGCGUGCCUUCCUAAUUUCCACCUUCAGCAAGCAUUUUCAUCCAAAAAAUAACUCACCAUUAAACUUGAAACUCUCCAAUUUAU
rnacentral:misc_RNA from 1 species